rnacentral:rRNA from 1 species
AUUUUACCUGUUUAUUAAAAACAUGUUUUUAAGUAAUUUAUUUUAAAUUAGACCUGCUCAAUGAAAUAUUAUUUAAAUAGCUGCAGUAUUUUAACUGUACGAAGGUAGCAUAAUAGUUUGUUUAGUAAUUUUAGACUAGGAUGAAUGGUUAGAUAAGAAUUAAUCUUUCAUAUUUGUAUAUUAUGAAUUUAUUUUUUAAGUUAAAAGACUUUAAAUGUUUUUGUAGGACGAGAAGACCCUAUAGAACUUUAUUAAUUUAUAUUAAGCUAAUUUGAUAUAAAUUAAUUUAAUUGGGGAGAUUUUAAUUAUUAUUAACAAUUAAAAUUUAUUUCAAUAAUUUUUGAUUAAUAGAAUUAAUGAUCCAAUAAGUGUUGAGUAUUGAUCAUAAGAUAAAGUUACCUUAGGGAUAACAGCGUAAUUUAAUUAGAGAGCACAUAUUGAUAGUUAAGAUUGCGACCUCGAUGUUGAAUUAAGAUAAAGGACUAGGGGUAGGUUUUUAUGUUUUAAGGUCUGUUCGACCUAUAUUUUCUUACAUGAUUUGAGUUAAGACCGGUGUAAGCCAGGUCGGUUUCUAUCCUUAAUUAAAUAAUUAAUUUUUUAGUACGAAAGGACCAAUAAUUAAAUUUAUAUAUU